AUACAACUUUCAACAAUGGAUCUCUUGGCUCUUGCAUCGAUGAAGAACGCAGCGAAAUGUGAUAAGUAAUGUGAAUUGCAGAAUUCAGUGAAUCAUCGAAUAUUUGAACGCAUCUUGCACUCCUUGGUAUUCUGAGGAGUAUGCCUGUUUGAGUGUCAU
rnacentral:rRNA from 1 species